AGAGUUUGAUCCUGGCUCAGAUUGAACGCUGGCGGAAUGCUUUACACAUGCAAGUCGAGCGGCAGCGCGGGGGCAACCCUGGCGGCGAGCGGCGAACGGGUGAGUAACAUAUCGGAACGUACCCGUCUGGGGGAUAACACAGCGAAAGCUGUGCUAAUACCGCAUACGACCUGAGGGUGAAAGCGGGGGAUCGCAAGACCUCGCGCGAUGGGAGCGGCCGAUAUCGGAUUAGCUUGUUGGUGAGGUAAAGGCUCACCAAGGCGACGAUCCGUAGCUGGUCUGAGAGGACGACCAGCCACACUGGAACUGAGACACGGUCCAGACUCCUACGGGAGGCAGCAGUGGGGAAUUUUGGACAAUGGGCGAAAGCCUGAUCCAGCCAUGCCGCGUGAGUGAAGAAGGCCUUCGGGUUGUAAAGCUCUUUCGGUGGGGAAGAAAUUGCAUAGGCUAAUACCCUAUGUAGAUGACGGUACCUGGAGAAGAAGCACCGGCUAACUACGUG
rnacentral:rRNA from 1 species